GUAGAUCAUCUCCACCAGGAGCCACAACUGCAAGCCGAUGAUGGCGACGUACAUCAUCACCUCGGACAGGAUGGACGCCAUCCCCCUCGUCACUGACACCAAGAGGGGAAAAAACAGCACGAUCGGCCUCGCCGACGGCCUUGAAGAGCCAGGUGACGCUGGCCGUGGCCAUGACCUCUCCCCUCCUCUUGCAUGAGAUGCAGCCCAGCUUGAAGCCUCGGUUGGCCACCGCCUCCGUGUCCGAGUCCACCUCCACGCACGCGCCCGCACACAUGCCCGCUGGAGAGAAGACACAUGUGCCGCAGUCAACACCGAACUCCA